rnacentral:rRNA from 1 species
GUGGGGAAUUUUGCGCAAUGGGCGAAAGCCUGACGCAGCAACGCCGCGUGGGUGAUGAAGGUCUUCGGAUCGUAAAACCCUGUCGUUGGGGACGAAGGUUGGGGGGUGAAUAGCCUUUCAGCUUGACGGUACCCGGAGAGGAAGCCCCGGCUAACUCUGUGCCAGCAGCCGCGGUAAUACAGAGGGGGCAAGCGUUAUUCGGAAUUAUUGGGCGUAAAGGGCGCGUAGGCGGUUUUUUAAGUCGGAUGUGUAAUCCCCGGGCUUAACCUGGGAACUGCAUCCGAGACUGGAAGGCUAGAGUGCUGGAGAGGGUGGUGGAAUUCCUCGUGUAGCGGUGAAAUGCGUAGAGAUGAGGAGGAACACCAGUGGCGAAGGCGGCCACCUGGACAGCAACUGACGCUGAGGCGCGAAAGUGCGGGUAGCAAACAGGAUUAGAAACCCCUGUAGUCC